UAGGGAAUCUUCUUUNAAUGGACGGAAGUCUGACCGAGCAACGCCGCGUGAGUGAAGAAGGUUUUCGGAUCGUAAAGCUCUGUUGUAAGAGAAGAACGAGUGUGAGAGUGGAAAGUUCACACUGUGACGGUAUCUUACCAGAAAGGGACGGCUAACUACGUGCCAGCAGCCGCGGUAAUACGUAGGUCCCGAGCGUUGUCCGGAUUUAUUGGGCGUAAAGCGAGCGCAGGCGGUUAGAUAAGUCUGAAGUUAAAGGCUGUGGCUUAACCAUAGUACGCUUUGGAAACUGUUUAACUUGAGUGCAAGAGGGGAGAGUGGAAUUCCAUGUGUAGCGGUGAAAUGCGUAGAUAUAUGGAGGAACACCGGUGGCGAAAGCGGCUCUCUGGUCUGUAACUGACGCUGAGGCUCGAAAGCGUGGGGAGCGAACAGGAUUAGAUACCCUGGUAGUCCACGCCGUAAACGAUGAGUGCUAGGUGUUAGGUCCUUUCCGGGACUUAGUGCCGCAGCUAACGCAUUAAGCACUCCGCCUGGGGAGUACGACCGCAAAGGUUG
rnacentral:rRNA from 1 species